GACGAACGCUGGCGGCGUGCUUAACACAUGCAAGUCGAACGGAAAGGCCCUGCUUUUGUGGGGUGCUCGAGUGGCGAACGGGUGAGUAACACGUGAGUAACCUGCCCUUGACUUUGGGAAAACUUCAGGAAACUGGGGCUAAUACCGGAUAGGAGCUCCUGCUGCAUGGUGGGGGUUGGAAAGUUUCGGCGGUUGGGGAUGGACUCGCGGCUUAUCAGCUUGUUGGUGGGGUAGUGGCUUACCAAGGCUUUGACGGGUAGCCGGCCUGAGAGGGUGGCCGGCCACAUUGGGACUGAGAUACGGCCCAGACUCCUACGGGAGGCAGCAGUGGGGAAUAUUGCACAAUGGGCGGAAGCCUGAUGCAGCAACGCCGCGUGCGGGAUGACGGCCUUCGGGUUGUAAACCGCUUUCGCCUGUGACGAAGCGUGAGUGACGGUAAUGGGUAAAGAAGCACCGGCUAACUACGUG
rnacentral:rRNA from 1 species